rnacentral:rRNA from 1 species
AUUGAACGCUGGCGGCAGGCUUAACACAUGCAAGUCGAGCGGAGACUUCGGUCUUAGCGGCGAACGGGUGAGUAAUACCUAGGAAUCUGCCUAUUAGUGGGGGAUAACGAAUCGAAAGGUUCGCUAAUACCGCAUACGUCCUACGGGAGAAAGGGGGGAGUCUUCGGACCUCUCGCUAAUAGAUGAGCCUAGGCCGGAUUAGCUAGUUGGUAGGGUAAAGGCCUACCAAGGCGACGAUCUGUAGCUGGUCUGAGAGGAUGGCCAGCCACACUGGAACUGAGACACGGUCCAGACUCCUACGGGAGGCAGCAGUGGGGGAAUAUUGGACAAUGGGGGCGAACCCUGAUCCAGCCAUGCCGCGUGUGUGAGAAGGCCUCGGUUGUAAGAC